GCCGAUAUAGCUCAAUGGACAGAGCAGCAGCUUCCGAGGCUGAAGGUUCCGGGUUCGAAUCCCGGUGUUGGCAC
rnacentral:tRNA from 1 species